GAUGAACGCUGGCGGCGUGCCUAAUACAUGCAAGUCGAGCGAACCGACGAGGAGCUUGCUCCUCUGACGUUAGCGGCGGACGGGUGAGUAACACGUGGAUAACCUACCUAUAAGACAGGGAUAACUUCGGGAAACCGGAGCUAAUACCGGAUAAUAUAUUGACCCGCAUGGUUCAAUAGUGAAAGACGGUUUUGCUGUCACUUAUAGAUGGAUCCGCGCCGCAUUAGCUAGUUGGUAAGGUAACGGCUUACCAAGGCGACGAAGCGUAGCCGACCUGAGAGGGGGGUCGAGCAGCCGGGAACUGAGGCACGGUCCAGACACCUGCGGGGGGCAGCAGUAGGGAAUCUUACGCAAUGGGCGAAAGCCUGACGGAGCAACGCCGCGGGAGUGAUGAAGGUCUCCGGAUCGUAAAACGCUGUUAGUAGGGAAGAACAAAUGUGUAAGUAACGAGGCACGUCUUGACGGUACCUGAUCAGGAAGCCACGGCUAACUACGUG
rnacentral:rRNA from 1 species